ACCUGAAAAACGAACCCGAAAGCAAAAGUCAGAUAACCAGCUCGGCUGUGUGGAAAUUCUCGACGAACACAAAAAGGCGAAAAAAAAAAGAAAGAUUGAAGUGGAGUCCCAAAUAAUAUGGUGGUUACUCUUAGAUUUCUUCUCAUAAGUUCUAUGGCUGGCCAGUGCUCUUUAAGUAAUAUAGCCAAAUCACCUUUCUUAUGGCGGUGAAGUCUCCAGGGUUGGAACUCAUCUCUAUCUCGGCGCGCUCUAUCAAGCCCUCGAGCUGUUCGCGCACGUCUCGCGCGCGCUUCAUCGAUCUAUGCUGGAUAAAGUUCUCAUAGCACCACUGCGUGGAGUAGUCCGUCUCCGCCCACUGGUCGUACACGUUCAACAGCGUCAGGUGGUCACCCCCCGGACGGAAAAAGUUUGUCCGGGCGUUGUCCGCGUGCACGAUUUUGUCCUUGGGUCGGUAGAAGAUGGCAUUGUUGACGGAGAGCAUGGCGAUUAUGGUCAACAUCUGGUCAACGCAUUUGUAUCUACAGCAUAACAAGGAUUAGCAAACAGGAAAGAACCGCUUUUUAAAAACAGCGAAGAAUCGGUUUUUGGAAACAGCAAAGAAUCUUAUUUUAAAAACGUGAAAGAUUCGGUUUCUGCAAACAAGACUGAAUGGGAUAAAUAUGCUUUAUAAAAACAGAAUUUAACAAACGUAAAGCAGUAUUAGUAUUACAACAAUGAGGAAGAGCCCUAACAA